rnacentral:lncRNA from 1 species
AGCCAACUUGCCUGGCCAGAUAAAGGUCUUAAGCAUGGCUCCUUCCUGCUCUAGGGGCUGCGCAGAGUAGCAGGGGCCCUGGAGGGCGGGGCCUGAAUCCUGAUUGCCCUUCUGCUGAGAGGACACACGCAGCUGAAGAUGAAUUUGGGAAAAGUAGCCGCUUGCUACUUUAACUAUGGAAGAGCAGGGCCACAGUGAGAUGGAAAUAAUCCCAUCAGAGUCUCACCCCCACAUUCAAUUACUGAAAAGCAAUCGGGAACUUCUGGUCACUCACAUCCGCAACACUCAGUGUCUGGUGGACAACUUGCUGAAGAAUGACUACUUCUCGGCCGAAGAUGCGGAGAUUGUGUGUGCCUGCCCCACCCAGCCCGAC